rnacentral:rRNA from 1 species
GAUGAACGCUGGCGGCGUGCCUAAUACAUGCAAGUCGAGCGAACAGACGAGGAGCUUGCUCCUCUGACGUUAGCGGCGGACGGGUGAGUAACACGUGGAUAACCUACCUAUAAGACUGGGAUAACUUCGGGAAACCGGAGCUAAUACCGGAUAAUAUAUUGAACCGCAUGGUUCAAUAGUGAAAGACGGUUUUGCUGUCACUUAUAGAUGGAUCCGCGCCGCAUUAGCUAGUUGGUAAGGUAACGGCUUACCAAGGCAACGAUGCGUAGCUGACCUGAGAGGGUGAUCGGCCGCACUGGAACUGAGACACGGUCCAGACUCCUACGGGAGGCAGCAGUAGGGAAUCUUCCGCAAUGGGCGAAAGCCUGACGGAGCAACGCCGCGUGAGUGAUGAAGGUCUUCGGAUCGUAAAACUCUGUUAUUAGGGAAGAACAAAUGUGUAAGUAACUAUGCACGUCUUGACGGUACCUAAUCAGAAAGCCACGGCUAACUACGUG